rnacentral:rRNA from 1 species
GCGGAUUAGCGGCGGACGGGUGAGUAACACGUGAGUAACCUGCCUUAGACAUUGGGAUAGCCUCGGGAAACCGGGAUUAAUACCAAAUAAAAUCAUAAUGACACAUGUCAUAACGAUCAAAACUCCGGUGGUCUAAGAUGGACUCGCGUCCCAUUAGCCAGUUGGUAGAGUAAAAGCCUACCAAGGCGACGAUGGGUAGCCGGCCUGAGAGGGUGAACGGCCACAUUGGAACUGAGAAACGGUCCAA